UACAGAGGUCUCAAGCGUUGUUCGGAUUCAUUGGGCGUAAAGGGUGCGUAGGCGGCGCGGUAAGUCGGGUGUGAAAUCUCGGGGCUUAACUCCGAAACUGCAUUCGAUACUGCCGUGCUUGAGGACUGGAGAGGAGACUGGAAUUUACGGUGUAGCGGUGAAAUGCGUAGAUAUCGUAAGGAAGACCAGUGGCGAAGGCGGGUCUCUGGACAGUUCCUGGACGGCUGAGGCACGAAGGCCCAGGGGAGCAAACGGG
rnacentral:rRNA from 1 species